rnacentral:rRNA from 1 species
AGCGAACGCUGGCGGUAGGCCUAACACAUGCAAGUCGAACGGCAGUACAGUAAGAGCUUGCUCUCACGGGUGGAGAGCGGCGGACGGGUGAGGAAUACACCGGAUUAUACUUUUUCGCGGGGGAUAAUGUAGGGAAACUUACGCUAAUACAGCAUACGACCUACGGGUGAAAGCAGGGGAUCUUCGGAUCUUGCGCGAAUGAAUGAGCCGAUGUCGGAUUAGCUAGUUGGCGGGGUAAAGGCCCACCAAGGCGACGAUCCGUAGCUGGUCUGAGAGGAUGAUCAGCCACACUGGAACUGAGACACGGUCCAGACUCCUACAGUGAGCAACAGUGGAAAAUAUUAGACAAUGGACGCGAGCCUGAUCCAGCCAUACCGCGUAGGUGAAGAAGGCCUUCGGGUGGUAAAACCCUUUUGUUGUUAAGAAAAUACAGCAGUUUAAUACCCCGCUGUACUGACGGUACCCGAAGAAUAAGCACCGGCUAACUUCGUG